rnacentral:rRNA from 1 species
AGUUGCAGGGUAUAGACCCGAAACCCGGUGAUCUAUCCAUGGGCAGGUUGAAGGUUGGGUAACACUAACUGGAGGACCGAACCGACUAAUGUUGAAAAAUUAGCGGAUGACUUGUGGAUGGGGGUGAAAGGCCAAUCAAACCGGGGAGAUAGCUGGUUCUCCCCGAAAGCUAUUUAGGUAGCGCCUCGUGAACUCAUCUUCGGGGG